AGGAUGAACGCUGGCGGCGUGCCUAAUACAUGCAAGUCGAGCGCCCCUUUAAGAGGUGACAAUCAUUUGAUUGUCGGUUCCUAUGGGGAGCGGCGGACGGCUGAGUAACGCGUGGGAACGUGCCCCAAAGUGAGGGAUAAGCACCGGAAACGGUGUCUAAUACCGCAUAUGAUCUUCGGAUUAAAGCUUUAUGCGCUUUGGGAGCGGCCUGCGUCCUAUUAGAUAGUUGGUGAGGUAAAGGCUCACCAAGUCAACGAUGGGUAGCUGGUCUGAGAGGAUGACCAGCCAGACUGGAACUGAGACACGGUCCAGACUCCUACGGGAGGCAGCAGUAAGAAUCUCACAAUGGGCAAAG
rnacentral:rRNA from 1 species